ACUGCGAGUGAAGAGGAUGAGCCCAGCACCGAAGCCUCUGUCGAAUUUCGGCAGUUGUGCAAUGUGGUGUAAGGGAAGGUACGUUCCAGUGGGGUGCUAGGUGUCUAAGUCCCCCUGACUGGGGCCAUGACCCUCGGAGGGUGCAAGGCCCGUGUGGCCCGGCAUGUUCUCUGUUCCCUACUGGUCUGACCUUUCCCAGGAGUCGGGUUGCUUGAGAGUGCAGCCCUAAGUGGGUGGUAAACUCCAUCUAAGGCUAAAUACUUGACACGAGACCGAUAGCAAACAAGUACCGUGAGGGAAAGUUGCAAAGAACUUUGAAGAGAGAGUUCAAGAGUGCGUGAAACCGUUCGGAGGUAAACGGGUGGGACCUCGAAGGUCGAACGGAUGGGGCUGGAUUCAACCCGUUGCCUUUCGUGCUCCGAGAACGAGUAGUUAAUCUGUCAGUGAUUUCGAUUUCGAAAAACUGUGCGGACUGCACGUCUCGGAUGCGCAUUGGAACGACGGGUGCAUUUCCUGUUUCCCCCUUCCUAGUAGGACGCUGCGACCGGUCGGAAUUUUUUGAACGCGGGAGACCAGAAGCGGGGCCUAUUGGUAGCUGCACGGUGUUGGUCGGCUUUCGAGUCGCAUCCGGUUGUCUGGCCAGGCCAUGGCGUAGUGUCUCUCUUUCCGACCGAGGAAACAUUUGUUUUGGCUUUCCUUUCAAGGAGCCAUACGAACGUACCCGCUUGCCGCUUGUCGUGCAGAGCUCGGAGCAGACUGAGUCUACCGGGUGGUGCUUGUCGUCCGGGCGUCGAGGUCCUUUGUGGCUUCCGCUCGUUUGACGACUUCGCAUCUACCGACAGCGAAGGGCGCAGGCUCCCGAUUUUAUUGGGUAUGCCGGAGGUUCAGCAGCGAGUAGGUUGGUAACCCACCCGACCCGUCUUGAAACACGGACCAAGGAGUCUAACAUGCUUGCAAGUCUUCGGGGCCUGACAAACCCUAAGGAGGCGCAAUGAAAGUAAAGGUGGAAUUUAUCUUUCACCUAGGCAAGAUCCCUUCGGCUUCGGCCGUCGGGCGCACUGCUGGCCCGCCCUAUGGUCGCUUUGCGAUCGGGCGGAGCCUAGAGCCG
rnacentral:rRNA from 1 species